AAUAUUGCGCAAUGGAGGAAACUCUGACGCAGUGACGCCGCGUGCAGGAUGAAGGUUUUCGGAUUGUAAACUGCUUUAGAUAGGGAAGAAAAAAAUGACGGUACCUAUAGAAUAAGCUCCGGCUAACUACGUGCCAGCAGCCGCGGUAAUACGUAGGGAGCAAGCGUUAUCCGGAUUUAUUGGGUGUAAAGGGUGCGUAGACGGAUUUGCAAGUUGGCUGUGAAAUCCCGAGGCUUAACUUCGGAAUUGCAACCAAAACUACAAGUCUUGAGUACUGGAGGGGAAUGCGGAAUUCCUAGUGUAGCGGUGAAAUGCGUAGAUAUUAGGAAGAACACCGGUGGCGAAGGCGGCAUUCUGGACAGUAACUGACGUUGAGGCACGAAAGUGUGGGGAGCAAA
rnacentral:rRNA from 1 species